GUCAGGAGGCCCUGACCCGCUGGACCAACCGCCACAACUGCCGCGACCGGGCGGGCGCUGCGCGGCCCGAGGGACCGGAGCUGUUUUCUGCAGAAACCUCAUUCCGCUUGUUUCUAAAGCCAGCGGGGCUCACGAGGGACUCCCCCGUCCAAGGCCCAGAACCCCGACCGUUAACAAGCACGCGUGGAGUCUUAACCCUCACCGACUGAGUGCUGAGGUCGCAGAUACUGAAGCCCUGGAUGCGGGGACUAGGUGGGUUUUCCUGACUUGAAGGCAAGAGAAACAAGGUGUGAGGUACUGACCCGGCUGGAGGCCCAGAAGGCCCUACCCACCCCCUCAACCCCCAAGUCUCAGUCCAGGAGACUCGAAGGGAGGGCUGAUCCCUCCCAGGGUGCUGGCUUCAGGGUGGGCUGAAUUCUGGAGAUGCUCUAGGGGUGCGGGUGCCAUCAGGCCAUCAGGGCACCCACAAGGAAGGCUCGGCCCCCACAUUGGGGGGGUCCUCCAGUAGGGGGCGAUUGUGCUCAACUGUGCGCCACCUCUGGGGGUCCAUCUGUCCCGACAGAGCCCCAGGGAGCGCCCCGGUUAGGGGCACUCACCACAGGGCACCCUGACCGCCUUCAUGCGGCUGGCACUCCCUCCUCCGUGGCCUGUGCUCCGCACUCAGGCCUGCUUCCUCCUGUGCACCUUGAGGACGGUGGAGGCCAUGGCUGUGAGCAAGUGCCCACCCUCCAGGACGGAGGCAUCCCAGAGCCUCAGGGUCAGUGGAAAGGGGGCUCUGUGGGGACCGUGGGCAUGGGAGGGGCCGCUAGAGCAGAGGACAGGGGGUCCCAGCACAGGGUUAGAAGCCCCAUCUGCCUCUGGUCCCUGCAGUCCCACCAUUCGUCAGACAAGGUCCCAGAGCUGCUCAUCUGGCUGGACAAAGGUGCUCCCACCAGGCCUCUCAGGGUCCUUAGGGCCUGACAGCACACCAGCUAACCCUCUUGGUGGGGACACCUCAGCAGAUCACGAUGGUGGCUCGGCUGCACCCCAGGUUGACCCACCCUUCCCGAAGGGAGCCAGGCAGAAACGGCGGGUCCCUGGGACUUCAAGGUGCCCUGGGCCCACCAGGAGGGCUCUGGGCUGCCCUUCGGGGCUCCUCAAGAGGGUCUUGGCAUAUCUGAGGGUGGGGUUUGUCCCUCCCUGGGCAUCAGGAGUGGGGGACAGGGAGGCCUUGGAACCCAGCGUCCCUGGGCAGCCUUACCUGGUUGAUGAAGCACUGCAUGGACCACGUGGGUGUGUAAAUCCCCACAGACAUCUGCUCUAAAGCAGGGCAGGGGGUGCUCAGGGCCUGCCUGCUCUGCCGGAAACCUCCCUACUUGAGGGCCCUGUACAGCCACCCUCAGGGGUGGUGGACAUGCUGUCCAUGGGCCUGCUCAGCCCAAG
ensembl:lncRNA